UGCAACAUGUAUGUGUGUUUUGUAAGUAACAUUUUAUAAAAUUUAGUUGUUUAGAAAGUUGGUAAGGAUUUUAAUCAUGCACCUCUUCUGUUCGUUUGAUUUCCAUUCCGAAGCGUGCUUCGUCGGGUUGAGGGAUCAAUUCUAUUGGAAUUUCUUCUAGUCCAGGUAGAAACCAUAAUCUUAUACCAUGAAUUAUUUGGUUUGUGAAAUGGAUUUGUUGGUUGCUAGAGAGACUACUCUUUUCCUGUGUUUGUGUAGUGGUAAGGUUCAAAUUGUCUCUAUUAGUUCAUUCCUUUGAGAUUUUUCUAUUACUAGAUUGAAAAGAAAAAAAAUGCAUAUCACAAAGAAACCUAGUUACCUAAAGAAAAAGUAAACAUACCAAUGUGGUUGGAAUAAGUUCAGUUUGGACAUUUACAAAAACAAGAGGGACACCUGAGGAAAUUGCUGCACUAAACCAGGUCAUGCACCUAGCUGUGGUGGUAUUGAUGCAGUUCUCACUGACCAGUGGCAUGAAUAGAAUAGAGCUUACAACUGAAGAACUUUGGUGAGGCAGAUAGGAACCUACUUUCAUCUUCCAGUCAUAUUUUAUCGCAUCUUCAUGGAAUCGUCUUGCUUGUAUGUGCAUUACUCUUCUUGUCAUUACUGCAAAAAUUGAAAAAAGAAACGUGUCUUUACUAUUUUAAUUGCUGGUUUGGUUAUAUU
rnacentral:lncRNA from 1 species